UGGGGAAUUUUGGACAAUGGGCGAAAGUCUGACGGAGCAACGCCGCGUGAGUGAAGAAGGUUUUCGGAUCGUAAAACUCUGUCUUUUGGGGCGAACGUGAGUAUGGUGAACAAUCAUAGUCAGUGACGGUACCAAAGGAGGAAGCCACGGCUAACUACGUGCCAGCAGCCGCGGUAAUACGUAGGUGGCAAGCGUUGUCCGGAAUUAUUGGGCGUAAAGAGCGCGUAGGCGGGAUAGUCAGUCUGUUGUAAAAGUGCGGGGCUCAACCCCGUGAUCGCAAUGGAAACAGCUAUUCUUGAGUGCAGGAGAGGAAAGUGGAAUUCCCAGUGUAGCGGUGAAAUGCGUAGAUAUUGGGAGGAACACCAGUGGCGAAGGCGACUUUCUGGACUGUGUCUGACGCUGAGGCGCGAAAGCCAGGGGAGCGAACGGGAUUAGAUACCCCGGUAGUCCUGGCCGUAAACGAUGGGUACUAGGUGUGGGAGGUAUCGACCCCUUCCGUGCCGGAGUUAACGCAAUAAGUACCCCGCCUGGGGAGUACGGUCGCAAGACUGAAACUCAAAGGAAUUGACGGGGUCAUAGCUGUUUCCUG
rnacentral:rRNA from 1 species